CAGCAGCCGGUAAUACCGGCGGCCCGAGUGGCGGCCACUAUUAUUGGGCUUAAAGCGUCCGUAGCCGGGUUGGUUAGUCUCCCGGGCAAUCUGGCCGCUUAACGGUCAGAAUUCCGGGAGAUACUGCCAGCCUAGGGACCGGGAGAGGCCGAGGGUAUUCCCGGGGGAGGGGUGAAAUCCUAUAAUCCCGGGAGGACCACCUGUGGCGAAGGCGCUCGGCUGGAACGGGUCCGACGGUGAGGGACGAAGGCCAGGGGAGCAAACCGGAUUAGUUACCCGGGUAGUCCUGGCUGUAAACGAUGCGGACUUUGUGUCGGACAAGCUAUGAGCUUGUCCGGUGCCGGAGGGAAACCGUUAAGUCCGCCGCCUGGGGAGUACGGCCGCAAGGCUGAAACUUAAAGGAAUUGGCGGG
rnacentral:rRNA from 1 species